rnacentral:rRNA from 1 species
GGCAUCGGUGAUACUCAAAGGAAUUGACGGGGGCCCGCACAAGCGGAGGAACAUGUGGUUAAUUUCGAUGAUACGCGAGGAACCUUACCCGGACUCAAACGGGAGACGGCAGGGGCAGAGACGCCCCUUUCCCUCGGGACGUCUUCCGAGGUGCUGCAUGGUUGUCGUCAGCUCGUGCCGUGAGGUGUCGGCUUAAGUGCCAUAACGAGCGCAACCCCCGCGUGCAGUUGCCAGCAGGUAAGGCUGGGGACUCUGCACGGACUGCCGGCGCAAGCCGCGAGGAAGGCGGGGAUGACGUCAAAUCAGCACGGCCCUUACGUCCGGGGCGACACACGUGUUACAAUGGGGGGUACAGCGGGAAGCCAGGCGGCGACGCCGAGCGGAACCCGAAAGCCCCUCUCAGUUCGGAUCGGAGUCUGCAACCCGACUCCGUGAAGCUGGAUUCGCUAGUAAUCGCGCAUCAGCCAUGGCGCGGUGAAUACGUUCCCGGGCCUUGUACACACCGCCCGUCAAGCCAUGGGAGCCGAGGGCGCUUGAAGUGCGUCGCCGGGAGGCGCGCCCUAGAGCGAAAUCGGUGACUGGGGCUAAGUCGUAACAAGGUAGCCGU